CCUCCACAUUGACCGAAUCACAGUGAAGGAACAGGGUCUGUACACCAGCCAGGCCACCAAUGAGAGAGGCUCUGCUGUGGGCUCCACCUACAUCUGGGUUCACAAGGAACCUCUGGACCAUGAGUCCUUUGGGAAGGUCAUGCAGGUGUCUGCCUUUGGCAUCUACAACUCUACAGGCUGCGGAACUCUGGCUGUCAAGAUGCUCAAAGGUGAGUGAUAGAUGUCCUGAUAUCCAGAAGCUCUUUGUCUAAUCCGAAGGUGAGUGAUCGAUGUCCUGAUAUCCAGGAGCUCUUUGUCUAAUCCGAAGGUGAGUGAUCGAUGUCCUGAUAUCCAAAAGCUCUUUGUCUAAUCCGAAGGUGAGUGAUCGAUGUCCUUAUAUCCAGAAGCUCUUUUUUUGCCGUAAAAUACGGUUGCUACUCAUUAUAUGCCAAAUUGGUUACAAAUAAAUCCACUUCCGGCGCCAUUCUUUAACCUGUCUCCUCCCCUUCAUGUACACUGAUUGAAGUGGAUUUAACAAGUGAUAUCAAUAAGGGGUCAUAGCUUUCAGCUGGAUUCACCUGGUCAGUUUGUAAUGGAAAGAGCAGGUGUUCCUAAUGUUUUGUACACUCAGUGUACACUCACCACACAGACAGUGUGGUGAAGAAGGCACAACAGUGCCUCUUCAACCUCAGGAGACUGAAGAAAUUUGUCUUGGCACCUAAAACCCUCACAAACUUUUACAGAUGCACAAUUUAGAGCAUCCUAUCGGUCUGUAUCACAGCCUGGUAAGGCAACGGCAUCGCCCACAACUGCAGGGCUCUCCAGAGGGUGGUGCGGUCUGCCCAACGCAUCACCGGGGCAAACUACCUGCCCUUCAGGACACCUACAGCACCCGAUGUCACAGGAAGGCCUAAAAGAUCAAGGACAACAACCAACCGAGCCACUACCUGUUCACCCCGCUAUCAUCCAUUA